UAGGGAAUCUUCGGCAAUGGACGAAAGUCUGACCGAGCAACGCCGCGUGAGUGAAGAAGGUUUUCGGAUCGUAAAACUCUGUUGGUAGAGAAGAACGUUGGUGAGAGUGGAAAGCUCAUCAAGUGACGGUAACUACCCAGAAAGGGACGGCUAACUACGUGCUAG
rnacentral:rRNA from 1 species